GAUGAGCGCUGGCGGCGUGCCUAACACAUGCAAGUCGAACGGAGUCGUUUUGGAAAUCUCUUCGGAGAUGGAAUUCUCGACUUAGUGGCGGACGGGUGAGUAACGCGUGAGCAAUCUGCCUUUAAGAGGGGGAUAACAGUCGGAAACGGCUGCUAAUACCGCAUAAAGCAUUAAAUUCGCAUGUUUUUGAUGCCAAAGGAGCAAUCCGCUUUUAGAUGAGCUCGCGUCUGAUUAGCUAGUUGGCGGGGUAACGGCCCACCAAGGCGACGAUCAGUAGCCGGACUGAGAGGUUGAACGGCCACAUUGGGACUGAGACACGGCCCAGACUCCUACGGGAGGCAGCAGUGGGGAAUAUUGCGCAAUGGGGGAAACCCUGACGCAGCAACGCCGCGUGAUUGAAGAAGGCCUUCGGGUUGUAAAGAUCUUUAAUCAGGGACGAAACAAAUGACGGUACCUGAAGAAUAAGCUCCGGCUAACUACGUG
rnacentral:rRNA from 1 species